UGUACUACAGAUAUUGUUAUCCCUGUUUUAAAGAUGAGAAAACUGAGGCACAGAGAAAUGAACCUAUCCAGGAAUAGGUAGUAUAUAAGGGUUGGCGCUGUGGACUGAAGCUCAAAUCUUCCGAGUCCAGCAUUCUUUCCAGCAUACCAGACUGUUUCUCAGGUGUAGCUGAUUUAGGACGUGCUUGUGAAGGCACAACAGUGUGCCCAUGUUGGUCCCGUGGGUCAUGUUUACUAAUUGCCAUUCGCUUUUUAGAGGGGCACAACAAAGCCUUUCAGCUGGCAGCCACAAGAGCUAAGGGCUGCUUCCUUUCGACUGAUGACUAAAAGAUGGUAUUGCAGAGCCAAGUCAAUGCAGAAUUCUUUCCCUCUUCACAGAUGGAAGAGGAGAUGCAUAUGCAAAGGGAGGAGAAUGCAGAGUAUAGCAAGAAGAUAAACUCACCCUUUAAUUGAAGGAGACAAGAUAUCAAAGGAAGCUCAGCUAUUGGGCAGGUAGAAAGAACCCAAGGGCACAGAAUAAGACCCAGGGAUAUUAUAACUUCAUCAGUAAGUUCAAUGAGUCAAGAUACAUAAUACUCCUACUUACUUCACUCCAUAUGGAGAGAAUGGAGUUGGAGAGAAAGUACUUGCAGAUGUGGUUGUCUCAGACACUGAAGACAGGAUAUCUUGGUGGGAAGAUUAUAUUAAUAAUGAAAGACUACUAUCUGGGCAAGAGACUUUAAUCUGCUUGGUCACUGCCAAUUUCCUGAAGAAAUUCUCUUCCCCAUACUUCCUUGCUAAGACAUACAUUUCAGACUGUUGAAGCCAAUACUCAGUCAACCUUUCUUUGAAGUCUUAGAAGCUUAUAGCAGAAGGAAAAAGUCAAAAUGGUCUCUCAGAGGGUUCCUAUUGAUGGGCCAUUCAGUUAUCAUGUGACCUGAGCAUCUUAGCUGGGAGGGAAGCCAUCAGUCAUCAUCUCAGUUAAAUCUUAUU
rnacentral:lncRNA from 1 species